GUUGAUAAAUGUCGUCCAGUUUCAUCUAUUUGCCACUUGUGUGUUGUUCCUUAGUCGCGAGGGCUUCCGUAGAGCAUGUAUGAGAGCAAUGUUCAACCGCUAGUAAUAAUAAUUAAUGAUGCCUAUACUGAUAUUAUCCUUUGUCCACGCCAUCUAUUGUCAGUAUUUGGCCAGCAAACAGAAUUACUGACCGGAACAAAAGGCAAGACAGGUACGUGUCCUCGAGGGUUAUGGG